rnacentral:siRNA from 1 species
UAAAACGCUUUACUUGCCUUUUGG